AGUGAACGCUGGCGGUAGGCCUAACACAUGCAAGUCGAACGGCAGCACAGUAAGAGCUUGCUCUUACGGGUGGCGAGUGGCGGACGGGUGAGGAAUACAUCGGAAUCUACUUUUUCGUGGGGGAUAACGUAGGGAAACUUACGCUAAUACCGCAUACGACCUACGGGUGAAAGCAGGGGAUCUUCGGACCUUGCGCGGUUGAAUGAGCCGAUGUCGUAUUAGCUAGUUGGCGGGGUAAAGGCCCACCAAGGCGACGAUCCGUAGCUGGUCUGAGAGGAUGAUCAGCCACACUGGAACUGAGACACGGUCCAGACUCCUACGGGAGGCAGCAGUGGGGAAUAGUGGACAAUGGGCGCAAGCCUGAUCCAGCCAUACCGCGUGGGUGAAGAAGGCCUUCGGGUUGUAAAGCCCUUUUGUUGGGAAAGAAAAGCAGCAGGUUAAUACCCCGCGGUUCUGACGGUACCCAAAGAAUAAGCACCGGCUAACUUCGUG
rnacentral:rRNA from 1 species